ensembl:misc_RNA Metazoa_SRP Metazoan signal recognition particle RNA
GCCGGGCGCGGUGGCUCACGCCUGUAAUCCCAGCACUUUGGGAGGCCGAGGCGGGUGGAUCACCUGAGGUCGGGAGUUCAAGACCAGCCUGACCAACAUGGAGAAACCCCGUCUCUA